rnacentral:rRNA from 1 species
CUACGGGGCGCUGCAGUGGGGAAUAUUGGACAAUGGGCGAAAGCCUGAUCCAGCAAUACCACGUGAAUGAUGACGGCCUUAGGGUUGUAAAAUUCUUUUAGUAGGAAAGAUAAUGACGGUACCUACAGAAAAAGCACCGGCUAACUUCGUGCCAGCAGCCGCGGUAAUACGAAGGGUGCUAGCAUUGUUCGGAAUCAUUGGGCGUAAAGCGCAUGUAGGCGGCUUAGCAAGUUGGCUGUGAAAUCCCAAGGCUCAACCUUGGAAUUACAGUCAAAACUGCCCCGCUAGAGUAUAGUAGGGGAUAGUGGAAUUCCUAGUGUAGGGGUGAAAUCCGUAGAUAUUAGGAGGAACAUCAGAGGCGAAAGCGACUAUCUAUACUAUUACUGACGCUGAGAUGCGAAAGCGUGGGGAGCAAACAGGAUUAGAUACCCUCGUAGUC